rnacentral:rRNA from 1 species
GACGAACGCUGGCGGCGUGCCUAAUACAUGCAAGUAGAACGCUGAAGGAGGAGCUUGCUUCUCUGGAUGAGUUGCGAACGGGUGAGUAACGCGUAGGUAACCUGCAUGGUAGCGGGGGAUAACUAUUGGAAACGAUAGCUAAUACCGCAUAACAGUAGAUAUCGCAUGAUAUCUACUUGAAAGGUGCAAUUGCAUCACUACCAGAUGGACCUGCGUUGUAUUAGCUAGUUGGUGAGGUAACGGCUCACCAAGGCGACGAUACAUAGCCGACCUGAGAGGGUGAUCGGCCACACUGGGACUGAGACACGGCCCAGACUCCUACGGGAGGCAGCAGUAGGGAAUCUUCGGCAAUGGACGGAAGUCUGACCGAGCAACGCCGCGUGAGUGAAGAAGGUUGUCGGAUCGUAAAGCUCUGUUGUAAGAGAAGAACGAGUGUGAGAGUGGAAAGUUCACACUGUGACGGUAUCUUACCAGAAAGGGACGGCUAACUACGUG